rnacentral:rRNA from 1 species
UUCGGGGUGGAUUAGUGGCGAACGGGUGAGUAACACGUGGGCAAUCUGCCCUUCACUCUGGGACAAGCCCUGGAAACGGGGUCUAAUACCGGAUAACACUCUGUCCCGCAUGGGACGGGGUUAAAAGCUCCGGCGGUGAAGGAUGAGCCCGCGGCCUAUCAGCUUGUUGGUGGGGGUAAUGGCCCUACCAAGGCAGACGACGGGUAGCCGGCCCUGAGAGGGCGACCGGCCACACUGUGACUGAGACACGGCCCAGACUCCUACGGGAGGCAGCAGUGUGGAAUAUUGCACACUGGGCGAAAGCCUGAUGCACCGACACCGCGUGAGGGAUGACCGCCUUCGGGUUGUAAAUCGCUUUCAGCAUUAAAGAAGCAUCUGUGAACGUACCCGCAGAAGAACCACGGGCUACCUGUAUGCCGACCUACCGCGGGAGACACCUACGCUG